rnacentral:rRNA from 1 species
AUACGGAGGGUGCAAGCGUACUCGGAAUCACUGGGCGUAAAGCGCGCGCAGGCGGCUAUUUAAGUUGGAUGUGAAAGCCUACGGCUCAACCGUAGAACUGCAUCCAAAACUAUUUAGCUAGAGUGUGGGAGAGGAAGAUGGAAUUAGUUGUGUAGGGGUAAAAUCCGUAGAGAUAACUAGGAAUACCAAAAGCGAAGGCAAUCUUCUGGAACACUACUGACGCUGAGGCGCGAAAGCGUGGGGAGCAAACAGGAUUAGAAACCCUAGUAGUCC